UUUUUUUUUUUUUUUUCAACCAAAAAAAAGCAAAAAAUUCCAUCCAUGGUUAAAAUGCUCUACAAAAAAAUAAAUGUCAACCCUAUCUUGUGUGCGCCCAAGUCAGUGUGGACGCUCAUGUCUCGUUGUACAAUAAAAAAACCACCUCAGUUAUAAAUGGGGCUGAAGUGCUCCAUACGUGGCAUAACCAUCAAAAGUCACACACCUAAUGGUAUACAAAAUUUCAAUUAUACGACAGUCACGAAGUCCAACCUCCAGGAAUGUCUCCCUUCCUGUUGAAUUUCUCCAGUAUUUACCAACAAAUAGAGUGGUUGCAUGCACUGAUGCUCAAUUCAAAUUGUACUCGUCACUACUCAAACCUAGCCAUCAUAUAUAAGGAAGCUUUUCUCACCUUGAGUAACGGACUAAUACAGAGGGAACCAAUUGUAUUUGACAGAAGACCUAGUGAUGCGGUGUAAGCACAGAGACAAAA
rnacentral:misc_RNA from 1 species